UACAGAACGAACGCUGGCGGCAGGCCUAACACAUGCAAGUCGAGCGGGGGGAGCAAUCCCUAGCGGCGGACGGGUUAGUAACGCGUGGGAACAUACCCUUUGGUACGGAAUAGCCUCGGGAAACUGAGAGUAAUACCGUAUGUGCCCUUCGGGGGAAAGAUUUAUCGCCAAAGGAUUGGCCCGCGUUGGAUUAGGUAGUUGGUGGGGUAAUGGCCUACCAAGCCUACGAUCCAUAGCUGGUUUGAGAGGAUGAUCAGCAACACUGGGACUGAGACACGGCCCAGACUCCUACGGGAGGCAGCAGUGGGGAAUCUUAGACAAUGGGCGCAAGCCUGAUCUAGCCAUGCCGCGUGAGCGAUGAAGGCCUUAGGGUUGUAAAGCUCUUUCAGAUGGGAAGAUAAUGACGGUACCAUCAGAAGAAGCCCCGGCUAACUCCGUG
rnacentral:rRNA from 1 species